rnacentral:rRNA from 1 species
AUUGAACGCCGGCGGCAUGCCUUACACAUGCAAGUCGAACGGUAACAGGUUAAGCUGACGAGUGGCGAACGGGUGAGUAAUGUAUCGGAACGUGCCCAGUCGUGGGGGGUAACUACUCGAAAGAGUGGCUAAUACCGCAUACGACCUGAGGGUGAAAGCGGGGGACCGUAAGGCCUCGCGCGAUUGGAGCGGCCGAUAUCAGAUUAGCUAGUUGGUGGGGUAAAAGCCCACCAAGGCGACGAUCUGUAGCUGGUCUGAGAGGACGACCAGCCACACUGGGACUGAGACACGGCCCAGACUCCUACGGGAGGCAGCAGUGGGGAAUUUUGGACAAUGGACGCAAGUCUGAUCCAGCCAUGCCGCGUGCGGGAAGAAGGCCUUCGGGUUGUAAACCGCUUUUGUCAGGGAAGAAACGAGUUUCUCUAAUACGGAGACUUAAUGACGGUACCUGAAGAAUAAGCACCGGCUAACUACGUGCCAGCCGCCGCAGUAAAAC